UCUUUCCAAUGCAUGGUCCUUCAUACAACAUAAUCAAUAAAGAUGCAGAGCAAGUUCAUAAGAAGAUGCAUUUCACUUCAGUGAAUAUAUCUGUAUUUAUAUAGAUUACUAGUAAUUUGGUGGUGGUAAGAGGAGGAGGAUACCACCUAGCCCUGACAAUACAACUCCAAAGGGACCAGAGUUUUAACCACAUAGCACAUACUAGACAUUAGGAAAUAGAGAUUGAUAUUAUCAAGCUUUGGAAUUACCCAUGUUGCAUCACCACCUUCAGCACCACUACCGAGACUAGAAAGUCCAAAGGAGCCAAGGACAGCAGAGACGAUCU
rnacentral:lncRNA from 1 species